rnacentral:lncRNA from 9 species
GGACGGUGACGCUAGACCGAACAGCUCCGCCGGAGGCAGAGCGCCCAGCCCCACGCCCAGCUCCGGUGACAUUCUCGCCGCAGACUUUAAAUGGAGGGAGCGAUGUGAGGGGAACUUUGGGGACAAGGGGACGCUCCCUGCAAUGGACUGUGUGACAGGAGUUGGGGCCCUGCCUCCCCGCCAGCGCUUCCAGACAAUCCACACGACUGGAGGAUGUCCACAGGCAAAAUUGUCGCCAAGAGAAGGAAGGAAGAGCCCCGACCGGCUCUGCCUCUGUGGGGAAAGAGCCUGUUUGCAGCCUCCAAGGAAGCCUGCUGAAUAGGUGAGCAACCCUUGAGUCCCAAGCCCCUGGGGCUCCCGUUUUAAGGAAGGAAAAGCCAGACCAGGAGACAGGAGGGUUGUUUGGCCACUGGCUGUGAGGCCUCCAUCUAGGCCCUUUGCCUCUCUGCCCCUCAGUGACCUCACUGCACACCUGGAGCAAUGACCUGUGGCGGUCCUGGGGCUAAGAGCACAGACUCUGGAGAGGGACUGCCUGGGUUUGAGUCCUGGCUCUGCUCCCUACAGGCUGUGUGACUCUGGACAAGCUUCUGAGCUUCUCUGUGCCUGAGUUUUCAAACCUUAACGGGGGUGGGGGGGGAUCAAACAGAAGAUACCACCAAGGGUCAUUGGGAGGAGUCGGUGAGUGAGCAUUUAUUUCUUUUUUCUGUUUUUGUAUAAAGUGUUUAAAACAGUGUCUGGCACACAGUAAGUGCAGUGUAACGGGGUGCUCAAAAUUUCACCCGAGUGUUCAUUAUUCAUUUAGCAAACAUCUGCCCAUCAGCUGUACUUAUCAGGUCCUGGCUGAGCCUUGAGUUGGCAGAGGUGAACCGAAGGAAACUACAACAGACAUACAAGUCACCGCCUCCCACGACAGUCUGGGACUGCCAUUCUGUAAGGGCUCCGGGGUUCAAAGAGACCUGAGAGGCCGGAUGGAGCCCUUCUGCUGGGGUUGCUCAGGGGAGGCUUCUCGGAGGAGAGAGCAUUUAAGCUGGGCGCGGAGGCCUGGGCUGGCAGUGGCAGGGCUCAGCCCACUGAUUGGCUGAUGGAUCUGCAAAAGUUGGAACAUCCAUGGGUGCUAAGUCUGCUGGGACCAAGGAUCUGAAAUGACUUCAUUGCCGAGCUGAGCGUGGACCCUGAAACCUACUUGGUUUGGUAACCUGCACGUUGUACCCAGCUGACAUUGCCCCCACCGGAUAUCCAUGGAACUGGCCAAGCUGGACACUGGGGAGGGACAGGUGUGGGCCGAUGGCCUCUGGACACUGCUUCUCCCACACUUGGGCUGAGUCCUAUGCUGUGAACCCAGACACCAAGAUGACAAGACCAACAGGGCAAGACCUCCGGGGGCCUGGCCUGGCCCCCCUCAUGCAGUGCCUCUAACAUGUUAUCCUCUCUUCAGGCCUCCAGCCCUCGCCAAGGCCCAAGGCUGUGCUAAGGCUCUGUUGAGAGCCAACCUGGGGGCCCAGGGCCUGCCUGGGCAGAGAUUGCGCCCAGGAGGCGGUGAGCUGUGCUGACUCCCAGGAAGACAGCCAACACCUGCACCAGCCUGCCCAGGCACACCCCUCUGCCCCAGCCAACUAUGACACAGCUGUCAAGGCCUAGCCCAGCUGUCAUUUCCUCUGGGCUGGGGCCAGGGUUAUCAGUAGGGUCUCCAGCCUUGGUGCUUCUGUGACAUGGAUGGGGUGAGGAAUUAAACACACAGGAAAACCAAUUCAGACAAUCAAGGAGAAAAAGAAAUGUAGUAUUCCAUGUAACUGCCAA